rnacentral:rRNA from 1 species
GGCGGAAUGCCUCAUACAUGCAAGUCGCACGGUCCUUCGGGACAGUGGCGGACGGGUGAGUAACGCGUAGGUAACGUGCCCUAUACUGGGGGACAACAGAGGGAAACCUCUGCUAAUACCGCAUAAGAUAUUGAGUGAAAUCUCAAUAUUUAAAGCCUCGGCGGUAUAGGAUCGGCCUGCGUCGGAUUAGCUUGUUGGCAGGGUAAUGGCCUACCAAGGCGACGAUCCGUAGCUGGUCUGAGAGGAUGACCAGCCACAGUGGGACUGAGACACGGCCCACACUCCUACGGGAGGCAGCAGUAGGGAAUAUUGCGCAAUGGGCGAAAGCCUGACGCAGCAAUUCCGCGUGGAGGAUGAAGGUUCUUGGACUGUAAACUCCUUUCGGUGGUGACGAUAAUGACGGUAGCCACAGAAGAAGCACCGGCUAACUACGUGCCAGCAGCCGCGGUAAGACGUAGGGUGCAAGCGUUGUCCGGAAUUAUUGGGCGUAAA